rnacentral:rRNA from 1 species
UAGGGAAUAUUGCAAAAUGGGCGAAAGCCCGAUGCAGCAACGCCGCGUGGGCGAUGAAGGCCUUCGGGUCGUAAAGCCCUUUUUGAGGGGAUGAGGAAGGACAGUACCCUCAGAAUAAGCCUCGGCUAACUACGUGCCAGCAGCCGCGGGAAAACGUAGGAGGCGAGCGUUAUCCGGAUUUACUGGGCGUAAAGCGCGUGCAGGCGGAUUGGAGAGUUGGAUGUGAAAGCUCCCGGCUUAACUGGGAGAGGUCGUUCAAUACUUCCAGUCUUGAGUGCAGUAGAGGGCAGUGGAAUUCCGGGUGUAGUGGUGAAAUGCGUAGAUAUCCGGAGGAACACCAGUGGCGAAAGCGGCUUCCUGGACUGUAACUGACGCUCAGACGCGAAAGCUAGGGUAGCAAACG